rnacentral:rRNA from 2 species
CCAUCGCUCAACGGAUAAAAGGUACUCCGGGGAUAACAGGCUGAUACCGCCCAAGAGUUCAUAUCGACGGCGGUGUUUGGCACCUCGAUGUCGGCUCAUCACAUCCUGGGGCUGAAGUAGGUCCCAAGGGUAUGGCUGUUCGCCAUUUAAAGUGGUACGCGAGCUGGGUUUAGAACGUCGUGAGACAGUUCGGUCCCUAUCUGCCGUGGGCGCUGGAGAACUGAGGGGGGCUGCUCCUAGUACGAGAGGACCGGAGUGGACGCAUCACUGGUGUUCGGGUUGUCAUGCCAAUGGCACUGCCCGGUAGCUAAAUGCGGAAGAGAUAAGUGCUGAAAGCAUCUAAGCACGAAACUUGCCCCGAGAUGAGUUCUCCCUGACCCUUUAAGGUCCUGAAGGAACGUUGAAGACGACGACGUUGAUAGGCCGGGUGUGUAAGCGCAGCGAUGCGUUGAGCUAACCGGUACUAAUGAACCGUGAGGCUUAACCUUACAACGCCGAAGGUGUUU